CUCUGAUAAAAAUAAACCAUGUAGGUCUAAAUCAAUUUCCCUUUUCCUUAAUCUUAAUAGUUCAAAAUAAAUGUCCCUGAGAGACGUAGUAUUCGGUAAUUCAGAUGUAGAAGCUGACCAUCUAAUCCGAUCAGCAUCUUCCUCACUAUACUGCCAAGUCUCUGCCUGCUCAGACAAGCCCCCAGCCAAAGUGAAAAAUUCUUCCACAAAGAAC